rnacentral:rRNA from 1 species
AAAGCGUCGGUAAGGUGAUAUGAACCGUUAUAACCGGCGAUGUCCGAAUGGGGAAACCCAGUGUGAUUCGUCACACUAUCGUUAACUGAAUACAUAGGUUAACGAGGCGAACCGGGGAACUGAAACAUCUAAGUACCCCGAGGAAAAGAAAUCAACCGAGAUUCCCCCAGUAGCGGCGAGCGAACGGGAGCAGCCCAGAGUCUGAAUCAGCUUGUGUGUUAGUGGAACGGUCUGGAAAGUCCGACGGUACAGGGUGAUAGUCCCGUACACCAAAAUGCACAGGCUGUGAACUCGAAGAGUAGGGCGGGACACGUGGUAUCCUGUCUGAAUAUGGGGGACCAUCCUCCAAGGCUAAAUACUCCUGACUGACCGAUAGUGAACCAGUACCGUGAGGGAAAGGCGAAAAGAACCCCGGCGAGGGGAGUGAAAAAGAACCUGAAACCGUGUACGUACAAGCAGUGGGAGCACCUUCGGGUGUGACUGCGUACCUUU